rnacentral:rRNA from 1 species
GACGAACGCUGGCGGCGCACCUAACACAUGCAAGUCGAACGAGCGAGAGAGAGCUUGCUUUCUCGAGCGAGUGGCGAACGGGUGAGUAACGCGUGAGGAACCUGCCUCAAAGAGGGGGACAACAGUUGGAAACGACUGCUAAUACCGCAUAAGCCCAACGGGUCGGCAUCGACCAGAGGGAAAAGGAGCAAUCCACUUUGAGAUGGCCUCGCGUCCGAUUAGCUAGUUGGUGAGGUAACGGCCCACCAAGGCAACGAUCGGUAGCCGGACUGAGAGGUUGAACGGCCACAUUGGGACUGAGACACGGCCCAGACUCCUACGGGAGGCAGCAGUGGGGAAUAUUGCACAAUGGGGGAAACCCUGAUGCAGCGACGCCGCGUGGAGGAAGAAGGUCUUCGGAUUGUAAACUCCUGUUGUUGAGGAAGAUAAUGACGGUACUCAACAAGGAAGUGACGGCUAACUACGUG